rnacentral:rRNA from 1 species
CCUACGGGUGGCAGCAGUGAGGAAUAUUGGUCAAUGGACGAGAGUCUGAACCAGCCAAGUAGCGUGAAGGAUGACUGCCCUAUGGGUUGUAAACUUCUUUUAUAUGGGAAUAAAAUGUUCCACGUGUGGGAUUUUGUAUGUACCAUAUGAAUAAGGAUCGGCUAACUCCGUGCCAGCAGCCGCGGUAAUACGGAGGAUCCGAGCGUUAUCCGGAUUUAUUGGGUUUAAAGGGAGCGUAGGUGGAUUGUUAAGUCAGUUGUGAAAGUUUGCGGCACAACCGUAAAAUUGAAGUUGAAACUGGCAGUCUUGAGUACAGUAGAGGUGGGCGGAAUUCGUGGUGUAGCGGUGAAAUGCUUAGAUAUCACGAAGAACUCCGAUUGCGAAGGCAGUUCACUGGACUGCAACUGACACUGAGGCUCGAAAGUGUGGGUAUCAAACAGGAUUAGAUACCCUAGUAGUC